rnacentral:rRNA from 1 species
ACACAUGCAAGUCGAACGAACCUUCGGGUUAGUGGCGGACGGGUGAGUAACGCGUGAGAAUCUGCCCUCAGGAGGGGGAUAACGGUUGGAAACGACCGCUAAUACCCCAUAUGCCUAUUGGUGAAAUGAAUUUCGCCUGAGGAUGAGCUCGCGUCUGAUUAGCUAGUUGGUGAGGUAAUGGCUCACCAAGGCUUCGAUCAGUAGCUGGUCUGAGAGGAUGAUCAGCCACACUGGGACUGAGACACGGCCCAGACUCCUACGGGAGGCAGCAGUGGGGAAUUUUCCGCAAUGGGCGAAAGCCUGACGGAGCAACGCCGCGUGAGGGACGAAGGCCUCUGGGCUGUAAACCUCUUUUCUCAAGGAAGAAGAUAUGACGGUACUUGAGGAAUAAGCCACGGCUAAUUCCGUGCCAGCAGCCGCGGUAAUACGGGAGUGGCAAGCGUUAUCCGGAAUUAUUGGGCGUAAAGCGUCCGCAGGCGGCUUUUCAAGUCUGCUGUUAAAGAGUGGAGCUUAACUCCAUCAUGGCAGUGGAAACUGAAAGGCUUGAGUAUGGUAGGGGCAGAGGGAAUUCCCGGUGUAGCGGUGAAAUGCGUAGAUAUCGGGAAGAACACCAGUGGCGAAGGCGCUCUGCUGGGCCAUUACUGACGCUCAUGGACGAAAGCCAGGGGAGCGAAAGGGAUUAGAUACCCCUGUAGUCCUGGCCGUAAACGAUGAACACUAGGUGUCGGGGGAAUCGACCCCUUCGGUGUCGUAGCUAACGCGUUAAGUGUUCCGCCUGGGGAGUACGCACGCAAGUGUGAAACUCAAAGGAAUUGACGGGGGCCCGCACAAGCGGUGGAGUAUGUGGUUUAAUUCGAUGCAACGCGAAGAACCUUACCAGGGUUUGACAUCCUGCGAACCUCUUAAAAAUUUGAGGGUGCCUUCGGGAAUGCAGUGACAGGUGGUGCAUGCUGUCGUCAGCUCGUGUGUGAGAUGUGGGUAAGUCCCGCAACGAGCGCACCCACGUUUUAGUGCAGCAUUUAGUGGCACUCUAGAAGACGCGUGAUAACGGAGAGGUGUGAUGACGUCAGUCAUCAUGCCUACACCCUGGCUACCAUCGUACUACAUGCUACGAUACAAGGGCAGCUAACUCGGGAAGCUAGCAAUCAUAACGUGUCAGUCAGAUCGUAAGGCUGCAAUUC